rnacentral:rRNA from 1 species
UACGGGGGGGGCAAGCGUUGUUCGGAAUUACUGGGCGUAAAGGGCUCGUAGGCGGCCAACUAAGUCAGACGUGAAAUCCCUCGGCUUAACCGGGGAACUGCAUCUGAUACUGGAUGGCUUGAGUUCGGGAGAGGGACGCGGAAUUCCAGGUGUAGCGGUGAAAUGCGUAGAUAUCUGGAGGAACACCGGUGGCGAAGGCGGCGUCCUGGACCAACACUGACACUGAGGAGCGAAAGCCAGGGGAGCAAACGGG